UAUUUAGUUUUUUGUGGAACA
rnacentral:piRNA from 1 species